rnacentral:lncRNA from 1 species
CCACCUCCUUCUGGUGCUAUGCCCAGCUCCGAUGCCCCUCCUCCACCUCCGCACACAGCUGCACUACAGCCGACAGUAGUAGCAGCCACCCUUCCGGCCGAGAGAGCGAGAGGUUGAUGGAGGGAGGUGAUGGCAAGGAUGGGGAUGGGGACGACGAGGAACAGGAGGAGGCGGCGACGAAGAGGAGAGGAUUAGGUAAGACGACGGAGGGGAGAGGAGGAGGAUGGGAAGGGGGUGGAGGAACGUACUUCUCGAUGAAGGUUUCAAGGAUGUGCUCAUAAGCGGAGGAGGUUCCAGGGUGGUGGGGUCGUCUAAGCUUC